GGGGACGUAGCUCAGCGGUAGAGCGCUCGCUUCGCAUGUGAGAGGUCUCGGGUUCAAGUCCCGGCGUCUCCA
rnacentral:tRNA from 1 species